rnacentral:tRNA from 24 species
GCCGGGAUAGCUCAGUUGGUAGAGCAGAGGACUGAAAAUCCUCGUGU